rnacentral:sRNA from 1 species
ACAUAGCCCUGAUAGAGCUGAUAUCCUUUUUUGUAGUGAUAGCGAAAAAAAGAUAAAGGCGAAAGCAGGAAAAAGC